rnacentral:misc_RNA from 1 species
GUGAAUCAUCGAAUCUUUGAACGCAAAUUGCGCUUCCUGGCAUUCCGGGAAGUAUGCCUGCUUGAGGGUCAGUAUUAACAAAAAUUGGGUUUGGUUCCACAUUGUGACGUUUCCGGAGUUUGGGCUAUCUUCACUCCUUUGGUUAAGGGGCCUAAAAUUGACCUUAUUUUCGCAUUUUUAGACGUACAUAAAUUUUUUUAUGUUUCGUAUAUUCUUAAUGCCAAGUUCUCAUUAGAUG